rnacentral:misc_RNA from 1 species
AGGAGAAGGAGAAGAAGAAGAAGAGGGAGAAGAAGAAGAAAAAAGCCGAUGAAGACGUUGUUAUGAUGUCCUCUUGUUCUUCUCGUUCGGCGGCUCUUCCUUCUAAGCACAGAAGUACGCGCAUUGCUUAUAAACGCAAGAACCCUAAGGUGGUGAUCACUCCAGUUCGGCGUGGUGGCCGCUUCGGGGAAGGUGAUUUGAAUGCCGUUGCUCUCCCUCUUGGAAUGUCUUUUGCUGCUAUUGUUGCUCAGGUUCUUGAGAGGAAAGAUGUGGCAGGUGAAAAGAUGUCCGUUGAUUAUCUUUCAAAGGUGCAUACUUUUUAUCCCUUUACAAGACAAAUGAUGGAUCGAGAAAUGAACCUAUGGAAGUUAUUGACCGUGGAUUUUGAUCCAUUCACAAUUCUUUGUUUGGAAUGUGGAAAAAAAAACACAUUUACUGUUGAAAACUCCGUUGGCUCUUUCUCAUUUAGUUCUUAUAUAAAAGACAAUGAUACGAGAUUACUGAAAUUAUUUGGCUUGUAAACUUUUCAUACCAAAACAUCCAAGUCAGUCUGACAAAUAGAGAGGCAAAGCCCCCAGAAAGGUGGUCACAGCUUUGUGCUUUGUCAGUUUAUCUGCAAUAUUUUGUGAAUUGGUUUCACUUUACUGAAUAUUGAAAUAUUGGGUAUUAACAAUAUAUUAUUUGUCUGUUCAUUUGCAGAUUUGUGCUUUAGCUGUUGGAGAAUCUUUAGCUAAUGUCGUCGGUGAAAAAUUUGAAUUUUUUGCCAGGAACUUUGAGAAAUCAUUUGGGAGUACAUUGAGGACCCUUAGAUUGAUUAAUGAAGCAUCCAGCAACAAGGAAGCAUAUCGCUUAAGCCACCUGAAUGUAGAAAGCUGGGCUUCACACUUGACUCUUGAAAAUGGGGUUGAUUGUAGUAGCUCUGGCAUCAAGGAUUAUCAAUCAGAAACUGAGUUGCCUUCCAUCUCAGCCCAAAAUCAAGUGCAUGUGGCUGAAGAUGUAGAAGAGAGCGUUCCUUGCUUGAACCAGGAACUUCCCUUGAGUGGACAAUUAAACCAACAGAUUUGUGUUCCAAGUUCAUUAGGUUCUGUAAUCAACCAUUGCAGCACUAUUGAGAAAUUGGUCAUGGAGGAAGCGCGUUCUAAUGACCUGAAGACAUUGGAGAUUGGUCUUACAAUGAAAAAAUUGGAGUUAAAAGAGGCACAGCUGGCUCUUAGCUUUGAUUCAAAUCAUCUUGAAAGAUCAAAAUUAGCAAUGGGCGUGUCAAAGGCAUCCUUUAAAGCUGAAAAAUUCAAGAACCAAGUGGAAGAUACAAAGCAUGCUGAACUGCUUAAGACUUGCAUAGAUUGCCUUGUUGCCGGUUUGUUCCUCAUGUCUGCCUGCCUUUUAUAUGGUGCAUAUGUCUUUUCUUACCAAAGGAUCACUGAUGCUACUGCAUCCUGUAAUCCUUCAGUUGAGGUAAGGAUCAUAUCUUCUUGGUAGCUUCAAUUGCUUGUUUCUUCAAUUCACGUGAUCAUCAGUAUUGUUGAUCUAGUUAUCUGAAUUUAUAUGUUUUCUUUGUCAUACUAUUUUCUCUGGAACUGCAGAGAUUCUACAGAGAAACUGUGAAGAGUACAGUUUAUUGUCCUUUGGCCUUAUGCAGUGUGUAAAGAUAACAGAUAUUGCUUUAAAUGUUUGAUAAAAUUAAUUGGAUAUGUAGAAUGAAUCCCCACCUUGUAACUCUGGAGAGAGCUUGAUUUUAAGGUUGAAGCUUGAUUUUAUUGGGUUUUCAUUCUCUUGCCAGUUCAAAAUAUAUUGUGUGUCAUAGCCAAGAGCAUAAUGAAAUUUUGUUUUGGUUUGUUUUAAUGGCUCAAACAGGAUUUGCUAUCUUCAACAUCUACUUGAUUUAUGUGAUGUCAAAGAAUUUUCAUGUCACACCUUUGCUAUCAGAUGGAUUUUCUUGGCUGAUACAUCUUCAGCUUUUGUUUUAGUCAUACAAGAUAACUACAAAAUUCAUGUUUCUUUUAUCUGAUUCAGGAGUCCAAAUCAUGGUGGUUCCCAAGGCCAUUUUCGUCUUUCAACUCAGGGCUGCAUACGCUCCAGUGUCAUGUUCAGGUUUUAAGCCGAAUGCUGUUUGGCAUGUUAAUAAUUCUGGCAGUUGCUUAUUUACUUCUUCAACGAACAGCAACCUCGCAUCAGACAAUGCCAGUAACAUUCAUCCUGUUGCUUUUAGGAGUUGUAUGUGGUUUUGCCGGCAAAUUUUGUGUGGACACAUUGGGAGGAAGUGGAUUGCAUUGGCUACUAUAUUGGGAGACUAUGUGCUUGCUGCAUUUCUUCUCAUAUGUCUUCAUAUCGACAUUGUUCUGUGUACUUCAUGGGUCUGUCACCGUCUCCCAAGGGGAAAAAUCCAAUGCAACAUGUCCAUACUGGUUCCGACAAAUUCUUUUCUAUGCUGUUGUGCUCUUGUUUCUGCCAUUAUGCUGUGGUCUUUUGCCUUUUGCCAGUCCUGGUGAAUGGAAAGAUCAUUUCUUGAUGCUUGCCACCGACUUUCUAUUUAUUGCAGAUGAUUGAAUCAAGAGUUUGCAAACCCAAAAGCUGUCUUACCGCAUCUGGUUUCUUCUGACUUUGGUAUGUGAUUUAUCUGUAUUGUAUUCCGAG